GACGAACGCUGGCGGCGUGCUUAACACAUGCAAGUCGAACGGUGAAAGGGAGCUUGCUCCCUGGAUCAGUGGCGAACGGGUGAGUAACACGUGGGCAACCUGCCCCAGACUUCGGGAUAACGCUUCGAAAGAGGUGCUAAUACCGGAUACGAACUCCUUGGGCAUCCUUGGAGUUGGAAAGUUUUUCGGUCUGGGAUGGGCCCGCGGCCUAUCAGCUUGUUGGCGAGGUAACGGCUCACCAAGGCGACGACGGGUAGCCGGCCUGAGAGGGCGACCGGCCACACUGGGACUGAGACACGGCCCAGACUCCUACGGGAGGCAGCAGUGGGGAAUAUUGCGCAAUGGGCGAAAGCCUGACGCAGCAACGCCGCGUGAGGGAUGACGGCCUUCGGGUUGUAAACCUCUUUCAGCAGGGAAGAAGCGAAAGUGACGGUACCUGCAGAAGAAGCACCGGCUAACUACGUGCCAGCAGCCGGAGUAA
rnacentral:rRNA from 1 species